AUUGAACGCUGGCGGCAUGCUUUACACAUGCAAGUCGAACGGUAACAGGCCGCAAGGUGCUGACGAGUGGCGAACGGGUGAGUAAUGCAUCGGAACGUGCCCAGCCGUGGGGGAUAACUACUCGAAAGAGUAGCUAAUACCGCAUACGAUCUAUGGAUGAAAGCGGGGGACCGUAAGGCCUCGCGCGAUUGGAGCGGCCGAUGUCAGAUUAGGUAGUUGGUGGGGUAAAGGCUCACCAAGCCAACGAUCUGUAGCUGGUGUGAGAGGACGACCAGCCACACUGGGAGUGAGACACGGCCGAGACUCCUACGGGAGGCAGCAGUGGGGAAUGUUAGACAAUGGGCGCAAGCCUGAUCCAGCAAUGCCGCGUGCAGGAAGAAGGCCUUCGGGUUGUAAACUGCUUUUGUACGGAACGAAACGGCUCUGGUCAAUACCCGGGGCUAAUGACGGUACCGUAAGAAUAAGCACCGGCUAACUACGUG
rnacentral:rRNA from 1 species